UCAACACCAUGGACUGCAGGACAACACUGCUGCUGAUAGCUUUCUGCUGGACAGGUGUAGCUGGUCAGACUCUGACAGAAUCUGAAUCAGUGGUUAAAAGACCAGGAGAAUCCCACACCCUGGCCUGUACGGCCUCUGGAUUCACGCUUAGCAGCUAUGCGAUGAGCUGGAUCAGACAGGCUCCUGGAAAAGGACUGGAGUGGAUCGCCUAUAUAGGCACCAGCAGUACUCCAAUCUAUUACUCCAAUUCAGUCCAGGGAAGAUUCACCAUCUCCAGAGAUGACUCAAACAGUAAACUCUAUCUGAAGAUGAACCAGCUGAAAACUGAGGACACAGCUGUGUAUUACUGUGCUCGGAGGCACAGUGACAGAAAGAAGCAGGAGGCUCAUACAAAAACUUCCCCCAUUUACCACUUCCUUUGGAAGCAUUCAGCUCAACCCACUACUGGUAAUAUUUAAGAUAAAUAACUCAGUGGCAAAAUUCCAAAAAAACAAACAUUGUUUAAAUGAGUGUGGAUUUUAAAGUAAUAUAAUGAACCAAGUUUCAUUUCAUGCUGCAUCAUGAAUUGUACAUUGAUAA